rnacentral:rRNA from 1 species
AGUGAACGCUGGCGGUAGGCCUAACACAUGCAAGUCGAACGGCCGCACAGUAAGCGUUUGCUCUUACGGGUGGCGAGUGGCGGACGGGUGAGGAAUACAUCGCAUUCUACUUUUUCUUGGGGGAUAACGUAGGGAAACUUAUGCUAAUACCGCAUACGUCCUACGGGUUAAAUCAGUGGAUCUUCGGACCUUUCGCGUUUCUAUUAGCCGAUGUCGGAUUGGCUUGUUGGCGGGGUAAAGGCCCACCAUGGCGACGAUCCGUAGCUAGUCUGAGAGGAUGAUCAGCCACACUGGAACGGAGACACGGUCCAGACUCCUACGGGAGGAAGAAGUGGGGAAUAUUGGACAAUGGGGGCAGGCCUGAUGCAGACAGACCGGGGAGGUAAAGAAGGCCUUAGAGUUGUAAAGCCCUUUUGUUGGGAAGAAAAAGCAGCAGAUUAAUACCGCGCUGUUCGGACGGAACCCAAAGAAUAAGCACGGGCUAACUUCGG